rnacentral:rRNA from 1 species
UACGAAGGGGGCUAGCGUUGCUCGGAAUCACUGGGCGUAAAGGGUGCGUAGGCGGGUCUUUAAGUCAGGGGUGAAAUCCUGGAGCUCAACUCCAGAACUGCCUUUGAUACUGAGGAUCUUGAGUUCGGGAGAGGUGAGUGGAACUGCGAGUGUAGAGGUGAAAUUCGUAGAUAUUCGCAAGAACACCAGUGGCGAAGGCGGCUCACUGGCCCGAUACUGACACUGAGGAGCGAAAGCCAGGGGAGCAAACGGG